CAGGUUUCCCUAACUAUGUGUUAGUCGGGUGUACCUUGCCUAAUUCUGCUGAAGUCUCAUGGAGUGACGGAGGGGACUCCGAGUAUUACCAAGUUAUGUUCAGCACCGACAGGUUUCUCAACUCACAAGAAGUUUAUCCGGUGACGACUUCAAAAUAUACAGACGGAAAUGACGUGUAUAGUCUAAAAAUAGACAAUCUGGAUGGAGGUCAUGUUUACUUUUUUAAAGUUGUGGCGUACAAUCAGUACGGAAACACAACAUCGGCUGAAGCUGUGGGCUGUACUGUUCAGGAAGUACAUGGUACCGACAGCAUGUUUGUGGCAGGGGUAGUCCUCGCUGUUAUUGCUGUAGUCAUGGUUUUGUUCACGGUUGGACUCGGGGUAUUUAUCAGACGAAAUGGACGACUGCCUCUCGUGAAAGGAUGCCGUAAACAGGAAGAGAUAAAGAAUGUUCAAUUUUUAAAACGAGAUGGAACUCAUGAAAAGGAUGACGAGC